UAAAAAAAAUCUUUGAAGAUUGAUAGAAUUUAAAUUUUUUUCAUAGUUUCCAAAUAUACAUGAUAAGAUUUUGAUAUAAAUACUUGGCAUGAAUUUCAAUAAACAACUAUUUAUAGUUUCAAGACAAAUAUGAACAAAAAAAAAAUCACUGAAAGAAUGUACAAAGUUUGUGUACAUUCUCUUACCACUUGGAAGUACAAAGUAUUGGGUUGAGAGUGUUUCUUCACUAAUACAAUGUGCCCACAUAGGAGUUCUACAUCAACACUGACAUGGUAUACAAAGUGAACUAUUUUGUUGAAGAUGUACAUUUCUAUUCUACUGACAUAUUGUUUUUUUUUUUUUUUUCUUCUU